rnacentral:tRNA from 1 species
GGCACUGUGGCUUAGUUGGUUAAAGCGUCUGUCUAGUAAACAGGAGAUCCUGUGUUCAAAUCCCAGCAGUGCCU